UAUUUUAACUGUGCAAAGGUAGCGUAAUCACUUGUCUUUUAAAUGAGGACCUGUAUGAAUGGCAUCACGAGGGCUAAGCUGUCUCCUUUUUCCAGUCAAUGAAAUUGAUCUCCCCGUGCAGAAGCGGAGAUAAACCCAUAAGACGAGAAGACCCUAUGGAGCUUAAGACAUAAGGCAGCCCAUGUAAGACACCUAGAUUAACAGCAUUAACAAAUGGACCCUGCCCCUGUCUUUGGUUGGGGCGACCAAGGGGGAACACCCACCCCCCAUGUGGAACAGGAACUUAGUUCCCUAAAGCCAGAGCCACAACUCUAACAAGCAGAACAUCUGACCAUCAAAGAUCCGGCAAAGCCGAUCAACGGACCAAGUUACCCUAGGGAUAACAGCGCAAUCCCCUUUUAGAGCCCCUAUCGACAAGGGAGUUUACGACCUCGAUGUUGGAUCAGGACAUCCUAAUGGUGCAACCGCUAUUAAGG
rnacentral:rRNA from 1 species